ACUUACGGCCAUACCAUCCUGAAUACGCCCGAUCUUGUCUGAUCUCGGAAGCUAAGCAGGGUCAGGCCUGGUUAGUACUUUGAUGGGAGACUGCCUGGGAAUACCAGGUGCUGGAAGUG
rnacentral:rRNA from 1 species